GGGGAGGCCGGAUCCUGGGCUGUGUCCCCGGCGCCCAGUGCUCUCGGUCUGCGCUGUUGGAUUCGCGCUCCCGGCCGCCUCUCC
rnacentral:pre_miRNA from 1 species